rnacentral:rRNA from 1 species
AUGGAGCAGGAGUUUCAUGCUCUUCUUCGUAACAAGACAUGGACUCUCGUUCCUCCACCACCACGGGUAAAUGUUAUUGACUCAAAAUGGGUAUUCAAAGUGAAGAAGCAUUCGGAUGGAUCUAUUGAGCGUUACAAGGCGCGACUUAUUGCUCGCGGUUUUCGGCAGCGUCAUGGUCUUGACUAUGAGGACACCUUCAGUCCUGUCGUCAAGCCUACCACUAUUCGGCUUCUUCUCUCCAUUGCUGUUUCUCGUGGUUGGUCACUUCGUCAACUUGAUGUGCAGAAUGCCUUUCUACAUGGAUUUUUGGAGGAAGAGGUUUAUAUGAAACAACCGCCUGGUUUCUCUGAUCCUGAUCGUCCUGACUAUAUCUGUCGUCUUUCCAAAGCACUAUAUGGUUUGAAGCAAGCUCCUCGUGCCUGGCAUGCCCGCCUUGCCUCUGCCCUUCGUGCUCAUGGGUUUGUGCCGUCCACUGCUGACACUUCAUUAUUUCUUCUACAGAAGCCAGAAGUCACUAUGUAUCUUUUGGUAUAUGUCGAUGAUAUUAUCCUUGUCAGCUCUUCUCAGUAUGCUGCUGAUGCUCUUGUCUGCUCUCUUGGUGCUGAUUUUGCGGUCAAAGAUCUUGGGAAGCUUCACUAUUUUCUUGGAGUUGAGGUCACUUCUCGUGCUACUGGUCUUGUCCUUACGCAGAAGAAGUACUCCUUGGAGUUGUUACAAAAAGCCGGCAUGCUGAAGUGCAAACCGACCACCACACCCAUGUCGUCUACCGACAAGAUAACAGCUGUUGAUGGUGAGCUUUUGUCUCCUGCGGAUGCCACAGAGUACAGAAGCAUUGUUGGUGGACUUCAGUACUUGACGAUCACGAGACCAGAUAUCUCUUAUGCUGUUAACAGAGUUUGUCAGUAUCUUCAGGCUCCCAGAGAUACUCAUUGGGCUGCUGUUAAACGCAUUCUUCGUUAUGUUCAGUUCACUCUGACUUUUGGUAUGCAUAUUCGGCCGACUUCCUCUCGGGUCCUUUCGGCCUUCUCUGAUGCAGAUUGGGCUGGUAGUCCAGAUGACAGGCGAUCCACGGGGGGUUAUGCAGUAUUCUUUGGCUCUAAUUUGAUCGCCUGGAGUGCUCGGAAACAGGCUACUGUGUCACGUAGCAGUACUGAAGCUGAGUACAAGGCUGUGGCUAAUGCUACUGCAGAGAUUAUUUGGGUGCAGUCUUUGCUUCAGGAGUUGGGUUUGUCUCAACCACAGCCUCCUAUUCUUUGGUGUGAUAACAUCGGUGCUACAUACCUUUCUGCAAAUCCAGUAUUUCAUGCCCGAACGAAACACAUUGAAGUUGACUAUCACUUUGUACGGGAACGUGUAUCACAGAAGCAACUCCAGAUCAAGUUUAUCUCGUCUAAGGAUCAACUUGCAGACAUCUUCACUAAGCCUUUACCACUGCCACAGUUUGAGGCUUGUAGGCGCAAUCUUACCCUUCUCAGUUCUUUAGAAAGUGGCUAA